rnacentral:rRNA from 1 species
CCAAUAGCGUAUAUUAAAGUUGUUGCAGUUAAAAAGCUCGUAGUUGAAUUUCGGGAUCAUCAGGUUGGUCGUGCCAUUGGUAUGUACUAGCUUUGGUGGUUCCUACCUCUUGAAGAACCGUAAUGUCAUUAACUUGGUGUUGCGGGGAAUCAGGACUGUUACUUUGAAAAAAUUAGAGUGUUUAAAGCAGGCAAACGCUUGAAUACAUUAGCAUGGAAUAAUGAAAUAGGACGUUUGAUCUUAUUUUGUUGGUUUCUAGGAUCGACGUAAUGAUUAAUAGGGAUAGUUGGGGGCAUUAGUAUUCAAUUGUCAGAGGUGAAAUUCUUGGAUUUAUUGAAGACUAACUACUGCGAAAGCAUUUGCCAAGGAUGUUUUCAUUAAUCAAGAACGAAAGUUAGGGGAUCGAAGACGAUCAGAUACCGUCGUAGUCUUAACCAUAAACUAUGCCGACUAGGGAUCGGAUGAUGUUAAUUUUUUAAUGACUCAUUCGGCGCCUUACG